AACACUUCUAGACCUUUUGGUUAAGAUCAAGUGCAGGAUCUGUUCUUUUUCUCAGUUUAACAGUGAAGAAUUCCAUUUCAAAAUCUGUUCACUGUUAAUAUCUAUUUGCUAUUUAUUUAUUAGACUUUGUUUAUUGUGUUAUCCAACUGGCAUAAGUUGUACCUUUUCAGCUGAAGCCUGGAAUUGCC